UAAUACGAAGGGGGCUAGCGUUGUUCGGAAUUACUGGGCGUAAAGCGCGCGUAGGCGGUUUUGCAAGCCAGAGGUGAAAUGCCUGAGCUCAACUUAGGAAUUGCCUUUGGGACUGCGAGGCUUUGAGGACUGGAGAGGUGAGUGGAAUUCCCAGUGUAGAGGUGAAAUUCGUAGAUAUUGGGAAGAACACCAGUGGCGAAGGCGGCUCACUGGCCAGUUUCUGACGCUGCAGCGCGAAAGCGUGGGGAUCAAACAGGAUUAGAUACCCUGGUAGUCCACGCUGUAAACGAUGAGUGCUAGGCGUCGGCACGCUUGCGUGUCGGUGCCGCAGCUAACGCGUGAAGCACUCCGCCUGGGGAGUACGGUCGCAAGAUUAAAACUCAAAGGAAUUGACGG
rnacentral:rRNA from 1 species